rnacentral:rRNA from 1 species
UGCUGGAGGUAUCAGAAGUGCGAAUGCUGACAUAAGUAACGAUAAAGCGGGUGAAAAGCCCGCUCGCCGGAAGACCAAGGGUUCCUGUCCAACGUUAAUCGGGGCAGGGUGAGUCGACCCCUAAGGCGAGGCCGAAAGGCGUAGUCGAUGGGAAACAGGUUAAUAUUCCUGUACUUGGUGUUACUGCGAAGGGGGGACGGAGAAGGCUAUGUUAGCCGGGCGACGGUUGUCCCGGUUUAAGCAUGUAGGCUGGUUAUCCAGGCAAAUCCGGAUAAUCAAGGCUGAGGUGUGAUGACGAGGCACUACGGUGCUGAAGUAACAAAUGCCCUGCUUCCAGGAAAAGCCUCUAAGCAUCAGGUAACAUCAAAUCGUACCCCAAACCGACACAGGUGGUCAGGUAGAGAAUACCAAGGCGCUUGAGAGAACUCGGGUGAAGGAACUAGGCAAAAUGGUGCCGUAACUUCGGGAGAAGGCACGCUGGUGUGUAGGUGAAGCCCCUGCGGGUGGAGCUGAGACCAGUCGAAGAUACCAGCUGGCUGCAACUGUUUAUUAAAAACACAGCACUGUGCAAACACGAAAGUGGACGUAUACGGUGUGACGCCUGCCCGGUGCCGGAAGGUUAAUUGAUGGGGUUAUCCGUAAGGAGAAGCUCUUGAUCGAAGCCCCGGUAAACGGCGGCCGUAACUAUAACGGUCCUAAGGUAGCGAAAUUCCUUGUCGGGUAAGUUCCGACCUGCACGAAUGGCGUAAUGAUGGCCAGGCUGUCUCCACCCGAGACUCAGUGAAAUUGAACUCGCUGUGAAGAUGCAGUGUACCCGCGGCAAGACGGAAAGACCCCGUGAACCUUUACUAUAGCUUGACACUGAACAUUGAGCCUUGAUGUGUAGGAUAGGUGGGAGGCUUUGAAGCGUGGACGCCAGUCUGCGUGGAGCCAACCUUGAAAUACCACCCUUUAAUGUUUGAUGUUCUAACGUUGGCCCCUGACCGGGGUUGCGGACAGUGUCUGGUGGGUAGUUUGACUGGGGCGGUCUCCUCCCAAAGCGUAACGGAGGAGCACGAAGGUUAGCUAAUCCUGGUCGGACAUCAGGAGGUUAGUGCAAUGGCAUAAGCUAGCUUGACUGCGAGCGUGACGGCGCGAGCAGGUGCGAAAGCAGGUCAUAGUGAUCCGGUGGUUCUGAAUGGAAGGGCCAUCGCUCAACGGAUAAAAGGUACUCCGGGGAUAACAGGCUGAUACCGCCCAAGAGUUCAUAUCGACGGCGGUGUUUGGCACCUCGAUGUCGGCUCAUCACAUCCUGGGGCUGAAGUAGGUCCCAAGGGUAUGGCUGUUCGCCAUUUAAAGUGGUACGCGAGCUGGGUUUAGAACGUCGUGAGACAGUUCGGUCCCUAUCUGCCGUGGGCGCUGGAGAAUUGAGGGGGGCUGCUCCUAGUACGAGAGGACCGGAGUGGACGCAUCACUGGUGUUCGGGUUGUCAUGCCAAUGGCACUGCCCGGUAGCUAAAUGCGGAAGAGAUAAGUGCUGAAAGCAUCUAAGCACGAAACUUGCCCCGAGAUGAGUUCUCCCUGAGACUUUAAGUCUCCUGAAGGAACGUU